UCCCUCUCAGAAUCACACCUGGAGAGUUUCCAGUUCUCUACCAGUCUUGGCUAUGGGAGGGAGAGUCGAGCAGAGACAUAUCCAUUCCAUUUCUAGCUUGCGCAGCGGCUAGUGAGUAGAAGGCAAUCUGCUACAAGU